CCUACGGGAGGCAGCAGUGGGGAAUUUUGGACAAUGGGCGAAAGCCUGAUCCAGCCAUUCCGCGUGCAGGACGAAGGCCUUCGGGUUGUAAACUGCUUUUGUACGGAACGAAAAGGUCUCUGUUAAUACCAGGGGCUGAUGACGGUACCGUAAGAAUAAGCACCGGCUAACUACGUGCCAGCAGCCGCGGUAAUACGUAGGGUGCGAGCGUUAAUCGGAAUUACUGGGCGUAAAGCGUGCGCAGGCGGUCUUGUAAGACAGAUGUGAAAUCCCCGGGCUCAACCUGGGAACUGCAUUUGUGACUGCAAGGCUAGAGUGCGGCAGAGGGGGAUGGAAUUCCGCGUGUAGCAGUGAAAUGCGUAGAUAUGCGGAGGAACACCGAUGGCGAAGGCAAUCCCCUGGGCCUGCACUGACGCUCAUGCACGAAAGCGUGGGGAGCAAACAGGAUUAGAUACCCUGGUAGUCCACGCCCUAAACGAUGUCAACUGGUUGUUGGGUCUUCACUGACUCAGUAACGAAGCUAACGCGUGAAGUUGACCGCCUGGGGAGUACGGCCGCAAGGUUGAAACUCAAAUGAAUUGACGG
rnacentral:rRNA from 1 species